UGUAAAACUUUGUAGUGAAUUUAUUUAAUGUAAUUUGGUUAAGACAAAAACGAUUUAAUUCCUUGUAAAUCUCAAAAUAUAACUUUAUUUGGAGGAAUUAUUUGUCUGUAAUUUAGUUUAAUUGACGGUAAACGCCAAAUCAACCCAACCGACUGUUGCUAGUUGACGUUAGCUAAUUGACGUUAGCCGUUAGUGCCGUUAGCUUGGAUGAGAAAAGCCCGGAUGUGUCCUGGGUCUCUAGUAGAAAUACCUAAAACCCGCCGCCUGUGUCUCCACCUCAUUCGACGUUGCUGGACCUGGAGAUGAGAUGAUCUGCUUCACUAGUAAGAUGGAAAGAUGUGAUGGCAGAGGCAACAAAGUCUCAAUCCCUGCAGAGCAUGAGAGCAAUUUUCUGGCCGCAACUUCAGACGAUGUGUGAUCUGCCCAUCCUG